rnacentral:rRNA from 1 species
GAUGAACGCUAGCGGGAGGCUUAACACAUGCAAGUCGUGGGGCAGCACGGGGUAGCAAUACUCUGGUGGCGACCGGCGCACGGGUGAGUAACGCGUAUGCAACCUGCCCUGUACAGGGGGAUAGCCCGGAGAAAUUCGGAUUAAUACCCCAUAAAGAUAUUGAGAGGCAUCUUUUAAUAUUUAAAGUUUCGGCGGUACGGGAUGGGCAUGCGUGACAUUAGCUAGUUGGUAGGGUAACGGCCUACCAAGGCUUCGAUGUCUAGGGGUCCUGAGAGGGGAAUCACCCACACUGGUACUGAAGCACGGACCAGACUCCUACGGGAGGCAGCAGUGAGGAAUAUUGGUCAAUGGGCGCAAGCCUGAACCAGCCAUCCCGCGUGCAGGAAGAAGGCGCUAUGCGUCGUAAACUGCUUUUUCAGGGGAAGAAAAUCUCGUACGUGUACGGGACUGACGGUACCCUGUGAAUAAGCAUCGGCUAACUCCGUGCCAGCCGCCGCCGUAACAC